rnacentral:rRNA from 1 species
GUCUACGGACAUAGCACCCUGAACGCGCCCCAUCUCGGAAGCUAAGCAGGGUCAGGCCCGGUUAGUACUUGGAUGGGAGAAUAACCGAAUCACA